UUUUUUUUUUUAGUUUGAGCCCAUGACCAAAGAACCGGCUGUGAGGAGGAGGUCCAGGAAUGCUGCCAACCAAGGGGGGGGAAAAGGAAGCAGAAGAGAACCUGUGGACCACGACAGCCAGAACAAGUCAGACGAGGUUUAAUGAAGUUGUUCCACUCCUGAUGAUGGGACCUUUGAAUCCUGUGAGCACACGUGCUUGACAGAAGCAGCGUUGUGAGUACGUGAUCCUGCCAUCUUUACCUUAAGUGUUAAAGCUAAGAAUUGCUGUUGUAAUUUGACUUUUUAUUUUUUUUUUGUUUUUUUUUUAUUUUUUUUAAUGUGUGUCUUUGGACUUUGAUUGAAUGCAUGUUGUGUUUUGCUAUUAAAAGAAUCAAAAGUUGUUGUGCUGCUGUUUAUUGUGCAAGUGUUCUGGUUGGGUUUUUUAACUUACUACUUUUUAACUAAAACUUAACUUAAAAAACUUAACUAAAAACU